AGAGAUGUGUGAUGACGCAUAUCAAUAAGCGGAGGAAAAGAAACUAACAAGGAUUCCCUUAGUAACGGCGAGUGAAGCGGGAAGAGCUCAAAUUUGAAAUCUUCAAGGUUCUACCUUGACGAAUUGUAGUUUAUAGAAGUGUUUUCUGUUAGUAGAGUGGCAAAAGUUCUUUGGAAUAGGACAUCAUAGAGGGUGAGAAUCCCGUAUUUGGUCAUUCUUUCUAGCUUUGUGAUACACUUUCAACGAGUCGGAUUGUUUGGGAAUGCAGUCCAAAAUGGGUGGUAAAUUUCAUCUAAAGCUAAAUAUUGGCGAGAGACCGAUAGCGAACAAGUACCGUGAGGGAAAGAUGAAAAGAACUUUGAAAAGAGAGUUAAACAGUACGUGAAAUUGUCAAAAGGGAAGCGUUUGACACCAGUGUUGUUUUUCCGAAAAUCAAUUACGAAUGUUUUGUUUUUAAGAAGUUAUGACUUCAUCGGCUUGCUUCUUUCUUUACGAAACUUUCUUAAUGCACUUUUCGGUUAACAAGUCAACAUCAAUUUCUUUUGUUGUAAAAGAGUAUUGGGAAGGUGGCUUUCUUUUCGGAGAAAGUGUUUAUAGCCCUUUACUUCUGCAAUCGGAGAGAUUGAGGUCUGCAGCGUAGAUCCUUCGGGGUUAGAUACAUUUGUGCUAAGUUAUAGCUUUUCAUAGACAACUUGUUGAUUAUGAUUAGUCUUGUAGCUUACUCGCUUAUGCUAUUUUACCUACGCUUAGGAUGUUGACAGCAGUAUAGACUGU
rnacentral:rRNA from 1 species